CUGGAGUGAAGAUUCUGCCCAUUGGUCAAGAGACCUCCCUCUCAGAUGCUGGCUCUGCCCCUGCCUUUGGGGGUCGACCCUUGUACUCGCAGGACCUUAGGUGACUCUAUUCUACUUCUCUGAUCAUCCAGGAAACCAAUCUGCCUGAGGACGAGUCAUACUCUGUCCUCCCACCCCAGGCUAGAGAGUGGUAUCUGUCUUUCCACAAGUUGCCACCCCUUCUGCCCUGGGAACCUGAGUUGCCUGUGCUUCAACACUAUUCUUCAUUCUGCCUUUCACAAAAUGUACCACCUAAGUGAUAAUGUGAAUACCAUUUCACUGAAAAGAUUCAAAUGAUAGGAAUAUAAGAAGAAUGUGAAAAAUCACCCAUCCUGCACCCCAGCUUCUUCUCAGAGCUGGAGUGCAGUCGCAUGAUCUCGGCUCAUUGCAACCUUCACCUCUGGGGCUCAAGCGAUUCUUCUGCCUCAGCCUCCCAAGUAGCUGGGAUUACAGAAGGGAGGAAGCAUGAUUCACAUAACUUCUCUUGCCUCAGGUUUCCCAUCUGCAAAUGUGAUAAAAAUAGUAUCUAUCUCAGUAUCUCGGCUGAUCACGGUGGCUCACGCCUGUAAUCCCAGC
rnacentral:antisense_RNA from 1 species